GGUUCCGUGGUGUAGGGGUUAACAUGCCUGCCUGUCACGCAGGAGAUCGCGGGUUUAAAUCCCGUCGGGACCGCCA
rnacentral:tRNA from 1 species